GUGCCAGCGCCGCGGUAAUUCCAGCUCCAAUAGCGUAUAUUAAAGUUGCUGCAGUUAAAAAGCUCGUAGUUGGAUUUCUGGCUUGGAUAUAUUUUGCCGGCCACGGUUUCGUGUGUUAGUGCUUGAUAUUCUGGCCAUCCUUCCAAUGGCUAUUCAUCCUUCUUCAUUGAGGUGGUGAGUGGUAUUGGAUCUUUUACUUUGAAAAAAUUAGAGUGUUUCAAGCAGGCUUUAUGCUAUGAAUACAUUAGCAUGGAAUAAUAAUUUAGGACUUCGGUUCUAUUUUGUUGGUUUCUAGGACUGAAGUAAUGAUUGAUAGGGAUAGUUGGGGGUGCUAGUAUUCAGCGGCCAGAGGUGAAAUUCUCGGAUUCGCUGAAGACUAACUUAUGCGAAAGCAUUCACCAAGGGAUGUCUUCUUUAAUCAAGAACNCAAAGUUGGGGGAUCGAAGACGAUCAGAUACCGUCGUAGUCUCAACCAUAAACUAUGCCGACUAGGGAUGAGUGAACGUUGCAUUUUCGACUUCAUUCGCACCUUAUGAGAAAUCCAAGUCUUUGGGUUCC
rnacentral:rRNA from 1 species